rnacentral:rRNA from 1 species
AAUAAGCUAUUUAAGAGCGUAAGGUGGAUGCCUUGGCUCUCAGAGGC